ensembl:lncRNA
CUACGCAGCUGUACGUGACAGAGCCCGCUGUGGCUGGAAGUGUAAAGGAUGGCAGUUCAGAAUCCUCUCUUGCCAGCUUGCCGUGCUGCAGUCUUGAGCUUGUGAAGCGUGCUCCUGAGGGCUUCUUUUUCGUUUGAAAGGAUGACCUCUUCUCCCGCAAAAUACCUACUUUCUCCCCCCACAAGUGGAUUUUCUCCCCCAGAUCCUACUUUUCGCCCCACAGUUAAGCGUCAUCUCCCACAAAAUACCGCCUUUCAAACGAAAAAGAAGACCUCAGGAGCACGCUUCACAAGCUCAAGACUGCAGCACG